rnacentral:rRNA from 1 species
GAUGAACGCUGGCGGCGUGCCUAACACAUGCAAGUCGAACGGCAGCACAGUAAGAGUUUGCCUUUACGGUUAGCGAGUGGCGGACGGGUGAGACAUGCAUCGGAAUCUUCUUUUUCGUGGGGAAUAACGUAGGGAAGGUUACGCUAAUACCGAAUAUGUCCUACCGUUGAAUGCAGUGGAUAUUCACGGCUUUGGCGAUAGAUUGAGCCGGUGUCGGAUUAGCUAGUUGGCGGGGUAAAGGCCCACCAAGGCGACGAUACGUAGCUGGUCUGAGAGGAUGAUCGGCCACACUGGAACUGAGACACGGUCCAGACUCCUACGGGAGGCAGCAGUAGGGAAUAUUGGACAAUGGGCGAAAGCCUGAGCCAGCCAGACCGCGUGGGUGAAGAAGGCCUUCGGGUUGUAAAGCCCUGUUGUUGGGAAAGAAAAGCAGCAGGUUAAGCCACCGCUGUUCUGACGGUACCCAAUUAAUAAGCACCGGCUAACUACGUG